rnacentral:rRNA from 1 species
UACGUAGGGUGCGAGCGUUAAUCGGAAUUACUGGGCGUAAAGCGUGCGCAGGCGGUUUUGUAAGCCAGAUGUGAAAUCCCCGGGCUCAACCUGGGAAUGGCGAUGGAGACUGCAAGGCUAGAAUCUGGCAGAGGGGGGUAGAAUUCCACGUGUAGCAGUGAAAUGCGUAGAGAUGUGGAGGAACACCGAUGGCGAAGGCAGCCCCCUGGGUCAAGAUUGACGCUCAUGCACGAAAGCGUGGGGAGCAAACAGG